rnacentral:rRNA from 1 species
CAGUCGCCGCGGUAAUACGUAGGUGGCUAGCGUUGUUCGGAUUUACUGGGCGUAAAGGGCGCGUAGGCGGGCGAAUAAGUCAGGGGUGAAAUCCCAAGGCUCAACCUUGGAACUGCCUUUGAUACUGUUUGUCUUGAGUUCGAGAGAGGUAAGUGGAACUGCGAGUGUAGAGGUGAAAUCCGUAGAUAUUCGCAAGAACACCAGUGGCGAAGGCGGCUUACUGGCUCGAAACUGACGCUGAGGCGCGAAAGCGUGGGGAGCAAACAGGAUUAGAUACCCCCGUAGUCCCUGUCUCUUAUAC